rnacentral:tRNA from 2 species
GCCGGGAUAGCUCAGUUGGUAGAGCAGUGGACUGAAAAUCCUCGUGUCGGCGGUUCAAGUCCGCCUCCUGGCAUCA